rnacentral:tRNA from 1 species
GCAGGUGUGGUGAAAUUGGUAUACACGCUUGGCUUAGGACCAAGUGCCGCAAGGCGUGAGAGUUCGAGUCUCUCCACCUGCACAA